rnacentral:lncRNA from 1 species
GAACGUAGUUCCAGUUUUACGUCGUUCUUUUGAUGAACGAUGCGCGAACUCGCGUGCUCACUCGACCAGAUGUUAUGGUCACGCGAGGACGAAAGGACAAGGACAUCAUAUUGCCGAGUUAAGAACACGUAAACACUCUUGGGAUGUAUAAAAUAUAUGGUGCACCCAACAUCAAAACUCGAUAAGAUGCAGGAUCCUGGGAUGCACUGCUCUCGCGUGAACUCGCAAGUGAGCCCGCUGCCGAAUUUCGUGCCGAGCCAGGAUAAGAAGCCGUCAAAUGUUCGGUGCUGUAUUGGAAGAAGAAGAAGACAGAAAAAAAAAAAGAUUCGUGAAAAAAUUGGGCUGUUGGACAGACUGGACCGG